rnacentral:rRNA from 1 species
CCUACGGGGGGCUGCAGUGGGGAAUAUUGGACAAUGGGCGAAAGCCUGAUCCAGCCAUGCCGCGUGUGUGAAGAAGGCCUUCGGGUUGUAAAGCACUUUCAGUGGGGAAGAAAGCCUUGGGGCUAAUACCCUCGAGGAAGGACAUCACCCACAGAAGAAGCACCGGCUAACUCCGUGCCAGCAGCCGCGGUAAUACGGAGGGUGCGAGCGUUAAUCGGAAUUACUGGGCGUAAAGCGCGCGUAGGCGGUCUGAUAAGCCGGUUGUGAAAGCCCCGGGCUCAACCUGUGAACGGCAUCCGGAACUGUCAGGCUAGAGUGCAGGAGAGGAAGGUAGAAUUCCCGGUGUAGCGGUGAAAUGCGUAGAGAUCGGGAGGAAUACCAGUGGCGAAGGCAGCCUUCUGGACUGACACUGACGCUGAGGGGCGAAAGCGUGGGUAGCAAACAGGAUUAGAUACCCGAGUAGUC